UGCUGGAUAGCUCAGUCAGUAGAGCAUGAAACUCUUAACCUCAGGGUUGUGAGUUCAAGCCUCACACUGGGCAA
rnacentral:tRNA from 1 species